AUACGUAGGGGACAAGCGUUAUCCGGAUUUACUGGGUGUAAAGGGAGCGCAGACGGCAGUGCAAGUCUGAAGUGGAAGCCCGGGGCUCAACCCCGGGACCGCUUUGGAAACUGUUCUGCUAGAGUACUGGAAGGGCAAGCGGAAUUCCUGGUGUAGCGGUGAAAUGCGUAGAUAUCAGGAGGAACACCGGUGGCGAAGGCGGCUUGCUGGACAGCAACUGACGUUGAGGCUCGAGAGCGUGGGGAGCAAACAGGAUUAGAUACCCUGGUAGUCCACGCUGUAAACGAUGAAUACUAGGUGUUGGGAGACUAAGUCUUUCAGUGCCGUCGCAAACGCAGUAAGUAUUCCACCUGGGGAGUACGUUCGCAAGAAUGAAACUCAAAUGAAUUGACGGGG
rnacentral:rRNA from 1 species